rnacentral:rRNA from 1 species
AAUAUUGCGCAAUGGAGGGAACUCUGACGCAGCGACGCCGCGUGAGCGAUGAAGGUCUUCGGAUCGUAAAGCUCUGUCCUUGGGGAAGAAGGUCUUCGGACUUGACGGUACCUAAGGAGGAAGCCCCGGCUAACUACGUGCCAGCAGCCGCGGUAAUACGUAGGGGGCAAGCGUUGUCCGGAAUUACUGGGCGUAAAGGGCGCGUAGGCGGUAGUAUAAGUCAGAUGUGAAAGUCCAGGGCUCAACCGUGGAAUUGCAUUUGAAACUGUGCUACUUGAGUGCAGGAGAGGAGAGCGGAAUUCCUAGUGUAGCGGUGAAAUGCGUAGAGAUUAGGAAGAACACCAGUGGCGAAGGCGGCUCUCUGGACUGUAACUGACGCUGAGGCGCGAAAGCGUGGGUAGCGAAC